GGUCUAUUAGUGUAGUGGUUAGCACGUGGGAUUUUGACUCGACACCUUGAUCUUCCCGAGUCGCAGGUUCGAGCCCUGCAUAGACCU
rnacentral:tRNA from 1 species